rfam:Oceanicola batsensis HTCC2597 scf_1099451005761 genomic scaffold, whole genome shotgun sequence.
CGUUGCGGGGAUCGCCACCAGUCAGCGCGUCGCGCCCACUGGUGCAAUCGUC